AUGAUUGGCCUGACGGCCUUAUCAAUAUUAAUCCCAACACCUCUGUGAACCGUUUUCGGCCCUCGGGCUGAUCUUUUUUUACCAUACAAACACUGUGUAAUGAACGUCUUGUUAUCUUAACAAAACA
rnacentral:misc_RNA from 1 species